GCGUCCACCAACUAGGAGCUUAAUCAACACAACGCUGUGGCCUCUCCAGCUCAGGGACGUGCCUUUCCCGUGUCUUCUUCUCACACACAAACGUAGCCUGCAAGGAAGACUUAAGAGGCCAAUUAAAAAUAAAGGUCACGGCGCAUGGUGAGGAGUUGCUGUUCGUAACCGACGGAAAAGGCUUCAUACGUGAACACGGCUGGACAAGCAACCAGAACAGGUGCUUCCCCAGGAUGUCCAGAAACAAGCAGAGACCGUGAAGGACAUUUAACCUCACCACCAAUUCCAUGUGUGCCCAUGAAAACAAGAUUCCAUUGUUGGCUGACAGAUUGGCAAAGAUUAAUACUAGCCAAUGUUAGCAAAGACAUGAAAAAAUGGGCCGUUACGGUUCCUGCUUACUUAUUAAACAUUUCUGUGGGCCAGUUUGGCAAUUUGAA
rnacentral:lncRNA from 10 species